CACUAGGAGAAGUUCACUCUUAGCAGUGCCUGCCCAGUGCAAAAUUGUAAACGGCCGCCCUAGCGUGAGGGUGCCAAGGUAGCGAAAUUCCUUGCCUUUUAAUUGUAGGCCUGCAUGAAUGGAUUGACGAGGGUCAAGCUGUCUCUUGCCUUGAUGACGAAAUUGGACUAAAGGUGAAGAUACCUUUAUAGAAAAGUUAGACAAGAAGACCCCGUGCAGCUUUAAAAAAGUUACUUAUUAAGAGUUGUAAGAUUUUUAGGUGGGGCGCCUAGGAAGUAAAACUUAACCUUCUUAUUUGUUAAGAAAGGCUCUCAGGCAUAGACCCGGCAAGUCCGAUCAUGGGAGAAGUUACGCCGGGGAUAACAGGCUCAUCCAUUAGUAGAGCUCGUAUUGGCUAAUGGGAUUGGCACCUCGAUGUUGAAUUAAGGAUGAUAGCUCUAAGGCGUAGAAGCUUUAGAAGUGGGUCUGUUCGACCUUUAAUACCUU
rnacentral:rRNA from 1 species